AUUGAACGCUGGCGGCAGGCCUAACACAUGCAAGUCGAGCGGAUGAAGGGAGCUUGCUCCUGGAUUCAGCGGCGGACGGGUGAGUAAUGCCUAGGAGUCUGCCUGGUAUUGGGGGAUAACGUCCGGAAACGGGCGCUAAUACCGCAUACGUCCUGAGGGAGAAAGUGGGGGAUCUUCGGACCUCACGCUAUCUGAUGAGCCUAGGUCGGAUUAGCUAGUUGGUGGGGUAAAGGCCUACCAAGGCGACGAUCCGUAACUGGUCUGAGAGGAUGAUCAGUAACACUGGAACUGAGACACGGUCCAGACUCCUACGGGAGGCAGCAGUGGGGAAUAUUGGACAAUGGGCGAAAGCCUGAUCCAGCCAUGCCGCGUGUGUGAAGAAGGUCUUCGGAUUGUAAAGCACUUUAAGUUGGGAGGAAGGGCAGUAAGUUAAUACCUUGCUGUUUUGACGUUACCAACAGAAUAAGCAACGGCUAACUUCGUG
rnacentral:rRNA from 1 species